rnacentral:tRNA from 1 species
CAAGCGCUGGGGAAGCUGGAUGUCCCCGGACGGUUUGAAACCAUUCACGCUCAACCGACGAUCAUCAUCGAUGGUGCUCAU